rnacentral:lncRNA from 1 species
AAAAAAGAAAGAAAAAGAAAAAGAAAAAAAAGACUAAAUCACAGAAAAUACUUUUAUCAAUAUCUGUUUUUUUCACUUUUUUUUUUGUCUUUUGAAAACCUACACUUUAAUUCCUUAGAAAAUAAAAAAAUAUUCAUUUUGGCCUCUCGACAUUAGUGUUCCGUUAAUGUUUCGUUUAUAUCCUAUUUUUUAUACCCAAAAUAUUCCUAAAACUCUCAUCCUUUCUAAUCGACGUCCUCGGCUGCACCGUCUCGCUCUCCAUCGCCUCGCCCUCGCCUACCUCUCUGUCCAUGCCCACUCACACACCCUCGCUCUCCUCCGCUGCCUCACCCUUGUCCUUGCCCACCUUUCCGUCCACAUCUAUCUUGAUCUUUCUCUCAAUAGUCGCCGAAAUGGAAGGGCCGCGAGGGUGCUGGAGGAGCGGGGGAGCAGAUGGAUAAAACAGAGUUGGAGCUAGAGUUGAGGGAGGCGCGAAAAACAGAGAAGCAGAGGCUUAGAUUAGGGAGGAGAUGAAGAAGAUAAGAGACAAUUUGAUCAUUUUGUCACAAUAUAGCCCCUGUGAUUUUUUUUUUUUAAAGAGACAAAAUAUAGAUUUUUAAAUGACAGCAGGAAAAAGCAAAAAAUCAGGUAUUAACAGAAAAAUUUUCUAUAAUUUAGUAAAAAAAAAUCAUAAAUUUGAGUCUUGUACACAAGAUUGUGGGUGUGUGAGUAGGGACGUCAACGGGUCGGAUUUCUAAAAACCCGAACCCGAAUUCGAAAACCAAAUUAAAAUCCGUACCUGGAUCCGAAUCCGGCGGGUUUUAAAAAUUCAUAUCCAUAUCCGUAUCCGACCAAAAAUCCGAAACCCGAACCCAGACUCGAAUCCGGUGGGUCCAUACCGUUGAAUGAAAUUCUAAAAAAUAAAAAUUAUUAAAUAUUUUAUAUAUUAUAUAAAUAAAUAAAAAUAAAUUAUGUAUAUAUAUAAUUUAUUUGGGUUCGGGUUUGGGUUCGGAUCGGGUAAAUGCAAAAUCCAUAUUCGUAUCCAUAUUCGUCGAAUUUUUAUUUUUUAUACCUAUAACCGAAUCCAUACCUGUUCAGCUCGGAUAAACCCGCCCUGUUCAGGCUCAGGUUCUGAUAAUAUUCCAGGUUUCCAUACUCAUUGACAUCCCUAU